CCCUUAGAUGUUCUGGGCUGCACGCGCGCUACACUGAAGCUAUCAACACGUUUUCCCUCCCUGAGAAGGGCGGGUAACCUUUUGAAUCAGCUUCGUGGUAUGGAUCGGGGCUUGCAAUUGUUCCCCGUGAACCAGGAAUUCCUAGUAGACGCGAGUCAUAAGCUCGCAUCGAUUAAGUCCCUGCCCUUUGUACACACCGCCCGUCGCUACUACCGAUUGAACGUUUUAGUGAGGCAUUUGGACCGACGCAUCUCAGUUUAACCGCUGGUUUGUGUUGGAAAGACUUCCAAACUUGAGCGUUUAGAGGAAGUAAAAGUCGUAACA
rnacentral:rRNA from 1 species